rnacentral:rRNA from 1 species
AUUGAACGCUGGCGGCAGGCCUAACACAUGCAAGUCGAACGGUAACAGGAAACAGCUUGCUGCUUCGCUGACGAGUGGCGGACGGGUGAGUAAUGUCUGGGAAACUGCCUGAUGGAGGGGGAUAACUACUGGAAACGGUAGCUAAUACCGCAUAACGUCGCAAGACCAAAGAGGGGGACCUUCGGGCCUCUUGCCAUCAGAUGUGCCCAGAUGGGAUUAGCUUGUUGGUGGGGUAACGGCUCACCAAGGCGACGAUCCCUAGCUGGUCUGAGAGGAUGACCAGCCACACUGGAACUGAGACACGGUCCAGACUCCUACGGGAGGCAGCAGUGGGGAAUAUUGCACAAUGGGCGCAAGCCUGAUGCAGCCAUGCCGCGUGUAUGAAGAAGGCCUUCGGGUUGUAAAGUACUUUCAGCGGGGAGGAAGGUGUUGUGGUUAAUAACCGCAGCAAUUGACGUUACCCGCAGAAGAAGCACCGGCUAGCUCCGUGCCAGCAGCUGC